rnacentral:rRNA from 1 species
AACGAACGCUGGCGGCAGGCUUAACACAUGCAAGUCGAGCGCCCCGCAAGGGGAGCGGCAGACGGGUGAGUAACGCGUGGGAAUCUACCCAUCUCUACGGAAUAACGCAUGGAAACGUGUGCUAAUACCGUAUACGUCCUUCGGGAGAAAGAUUUAUCGGAGAUGGAUGAGCCCGCGUUGGAUUAGCUAGUUGGUGGGGUAAAGGCCUACCAAGGCGACGAUCCAUAGCUGGUCUGAGAGGAUGAUCAGCCACACUGGGACUGAGACACGGCCAAGACUCCUACGGGAGGCAGCAGUGGGGAAUAUUGGACAAUGGGCGAAAGCCUGAUCCAGCCAUGCCGCGUGAGUGAUGAAGGCCCUCGGGUUGUAAAGCUCUUUCACCGGUGAAGAUAAUGACGGUAACCGGAGAAGAAGCCCCGGCUAACUUCGUGCCAGCCGCCGCCGUAACAC